GAUUUGGUGACCGAAGAUUAGGUGACAGAUUUUUAAUCUGUUUAUGGAUUUUUAUCCUCAAAUUA
rnacentral:tRNA from 1 species